GUUCUUGUAGUUGAAGUACAACGAUGGUUUUUCGUAUCAUCGGUCGUGGUUGUAGUCCAUGCGAGAAUG
rnacentral:tRNA from 1 species